UUUCCGUUGGUGAACCUGCGGAAGGAUCAUUAAUGAGUUGUCAUGGGGUUCGAUGCUGGCAGCCAAUUUUUGGAUGCAUGUGCUUGCCCUAACAAUCAUCUUCCAAACACCUGUGCACAUUUUUGAGGGAGUCUUGAGUUGGUUGCCGCUCUUGGGUGAUUUUCUCACAUUCCCUUAAAUCAUUAUACGCUAUUAACAAUGUUGAACGUGCUCUGUGCCGCAAGGCUAUUAAUAUAAUACAACUUUUAACAACGGAUCUCUUGGCUCUC
rnacentral:misc_RNA from 1 species